rnacentral:rRNA from 1 species
ACUCCUACGGGAGGCAGCAGUGGGGAAUAUUGGACAAUGGGCGAAAGCCUGAUCCAGCCAUGCCGCGUGCGUGAAGAAGGUCUUCGGAUUGUAAAGCACUUUAAGUUGGGAGGAAGGGCAGUAAAUUAAUACUUUGCUGUUUUGACGUUACCGACAGAAUAAGCACCGGCUAACUCUGUGCCAGCAGCCGCGGUAAU